rnacentral:rRNA from 1 species
CCUACGGGUGGCAGCAGUGGGGAAUAUUGGGCAAUGGGCGCAAGCCUGACCCAGCAACGCCGCGUGAAGGAGGAAGGCUUUCUGGUUGUAAACUUCUUUUGUCAGGGACGAAGCAAGUGACGGUACCUGGCGCAUAAGCCACGGCUAACUACAUGCCAGCAGCAGCGGUAAUACGUAGGUGGCAAGCAUUAUCCGGAUUUACUGGGUGUAAAGGGCGUGUAGGUGGGAAUGUAAGUCAGGUGUGAAAACCACGGGCUCAACCUGUGGCCUGCAUUUGACACUGUAGUUCUUGAGUAUGGGAGAGGCAGACGGAAUUCCUGGUGUAGCGGUGAAAUGCGUAGAUAUUAGGAGGAACACCAGUGGCGAAGGCGGUCUGCUGGACAGCAACUGACGCUGAGGCGCGAAAGCGUGGGGAGCAAACAGGAUUAGAUACCCCAGUAGUC